AAAAAAGCCUAGCAUGGUGGCACAUGCCUGUAGUCCCAGCUACUUGAGAGGCUGAGCUGGGAGGAUUGCUUCAGUUCAGGAGGUCGAGGCUGUAGUGAGCCAUGAUUGCACCACUGCACUCCAGCCUGGGAACAGAGUGAGAUGCUGCACCCCUCCCCUGCCCCCCAAAAAGGAAUAUGGGAGUCAUAUGCCAUAUAUAUUAACAUGGAAAACAAACAGUUCAUAUACAGGAGGUCCAUAAUUUGCAAAAUACAGACAGUAAUGACUUAACACUUUUCUACUAGAACUGCUAAACAACAACUAUUUAAAAGAAGGAGUUUACUCUUAGAUUUUCCGUUAUAUUAAAUGGAAUCUGGUUGGCAUGAUGAUUCCUUUAAUGAAAAACUACAUAGUUUCCAUCCACUGGCAUAAGAGUGGAAUAGAAAUGUAUAGCUAAAUAACAGUUUAUGGUCCAUACUUGCAAUAUCAUAGUCCAUUUUGGGAAGUAACACCUAAACAAGUUCAGAGGAAAGCAAUACUAAUGGUGAGAGAUCCCAAAGCCAUAUAUGAUCAUGGAGGAAUGGUCUCAAAGGGAUUAGAAAUGAUUAGCAUGGAGAAAAUAAAUCUCAGUGGCAUAACAUAGCACACUGCAGGUGUCUGACAUACAAAAUACCAAAGAGAUUGGAAAACACAGAACCAAUUAGUGGAAAUUAUAGGAAGGCUGAUUUUGGCUUUGUAUGAAUGUUAGGAAAAACAAUUGCCAAUAGGCCUUAAACCUCCCAGAGCAUUUUUUCCUGGGCAUACCAAGAAUGCAAAGCUUUGACCUUUUUUUAAUGCCACCAUUUUUCAAGAUUGUGUUUGCAGAAAGCAACCUUAAGGGAUAAGUUUAGGUCCCACUUUGGGAAAAAGAGCCACCUUACUUUCUGCUUAUUAUAAAAGCAGUGGAUUCCCCAAGCUCAGUAUUCCUAAGACACAAAUCCACUAUAUGCACGAGAUAUACCUGGACCCUUCUAUGGUGCCUCCAUGGGACAUAAGGAGAACUUACUCAAAUAUGAUGUUCAUGCUGCUUGCUAAGCAUGAAUAAUGAAGUCUUCUAUCUCAUGUCUUCCGCCAACAUUUAAGAAACAGUGAUAGGCUAAUUUAUUAACUUGUAAGUAUGGUGAGGUCAAGAAAUCUCAUACCCAACAAUGGAGAACACAUUAGUUAGCAGAUUUCCUAUCCAGAAGUGUUCACAUGUGGAUGUGUAAACUUCUUGGAGAAGAUGAUGUAUAAACGUAGCAAAAAAUAAAGUUUCAGACAAGUAGUUUUUCUUAGACUUUCAAUGUUAUUUCAGUUCCGUAAAUUGUAUUAUUCCUUUUUAGGAAACACAAAUAUAAUUGGACUUAUCUACAGAAUACCAGGACUCCCUAGGAAGUCUCUACAUAAAUAUGGUCUCAAUAUUCAUUUAAAUGACCCAAAUUCCAUCCAUUGUCUGCGUGUAUUUCCACUCUAGUAAACCUUUAGUAGCUUUCAGAUAAAGGGAAAUCCAAGAUUAUUAUGCCAAAAGUGUAAUUCUCUUAGACUUCAUGCCAGAGUUCUUAGCAUCCAAGGCAGUCAAGAUUACCAUAUCCAAGGUAUAUACUACCAAUAUGACUUAGUAUUGUUGAUCAUAUGACUGAGGCAGUGUUUGCCAAAUUUUUCCACUGUCUAGUCUCUGCUAUGACAUCCCUCUUCCUUCCUUACUAGAAGUUGAGUAUCUCUGAUUCAUCUUAUUGGAAAUUCACUGACAUUAGUUUUAUUAAUAUUAAUAAGAAGUUAGUAUCUAUAGUGUUGGUAAGCACACAUAAUAUUUUUCUCCCAUUGCCAAAAGCCUCUGGUAAUAUUUAUCAGAAUACUUUGAAAAUGUGUAUUAAAGUCUAGUCUAGAAUUUUGAAUGAGUGGUGUAAUUCAGUUUGGGAUUACAUAGGAUCUAUGGCCUUCACUGAAUGCAAGCAAAGCUUUAACACUAGCAUCAUAGUCAAAACCUCUUUGUCCUCUUCGUUCGCAAAUGCUUUGUGCAUCACACAGAUAUAUCCACUGGGUGGCAGUAUGUACUCAAGAAUAUUUACUGUUUCUAGUUGCCUCAAUCUAACGGAAUUUAAAGAUGUCAAACUUUUUUUAUCUGGAAAAUAGCCAUUGUAGUGAAUCUUAAGAAACAGUAUUGUCUGAAUGCAAGCUCCUCCCUAGAGAUGAUUAUGGAGAUUAUAAUAAUGUUAAUAUUAUAUACUUCCUACCAUUUACUCUCAAUCAUAUUCUUUCUUCUGCCAACAAUACUCUUAGCAUGAGAACUGGUAAAUACCUAUUAUCCUACCUCUUAUUUCUGUAACCUAUCUCUUAGUUCUAAGGAACUUGCCUGGUGAUAGACUUUUCCCUUUCUCCAUUUUGUUUCUUAAAUAUCAUACCCUCUCCACAGUGAAAUCAAGAGAUAGACCUUUAAGCUUCUGUAUAGUACCAUAUGUACCCCUUUAGUUCUGCACUACCUCCUAGACAAAUAGAGCAGAUUCUAGAUAUUCACAUAGUCUUGCAAAGUCAUAUGGUUCUCUUUCACUUAAAUUAAUUCUGUCUGAAAUGCAGAAUGGCACCAAUUAACUUGCUCUACGUAAGAUUGUCUUCAAUGAAGAGAGGGAAAACCUUCCAAGAAAUUAAAUUGUGUAAUCAGGUAGGACUACAACUAUGAGAAGAAAUCACAAAAAUAAACAUAUUUUAAAAACUGAAAAUAAAAUACUAACUUAGUUGUGUUAGAUGGUGAAAUUAUGAAAGCUUUUGUUUCCUUUUUCUGCAUUUGUGUAGUUUUUCCUAUAUUUUCUUUAAUGAACUAUACUUUUUUCAAAUAAAAAAUAUAUAACUGCUCUUAAGCCAUCUUUUAUCUUCCUCCUGCCUCAAAGGAAAGAUUCUUGCUUUUAAAAUAUCCUAUCUAGUUUUCUGCUAUCUAAUUUUCCAAAAGAUAUUUAGUAAUAGUUUGACGUUUCCUUGCAUCUCCGAACAUGGCACUAGUUUCUGAUGAGUGUGAUGGGAGAUUUGACCCAUUUUUUAAAAUAAACUUUUUACAGAGAGUUGCACAGAUAGUGCAGAGUUCCCAUACACCCAACACUCAGUUUCAUUUAUUAGAAACAUCUUACAUUAGUUUGGUACAUUUGUUGUGAUUAAUGACCCAAUAUUGAUACAUUAUUAUUAACUAAAUUCCAUACUUUAUUCAGAUUUCCUUUGUUUUCACCUAGUGUUCUUUUUCUGUUCUAGGAUCCCAUCCAGGAUAAUUUAUUACAAUUUAUUUGUCAUAUCUCCUUAGAUUCUUCUUGGCUAUCACAGUUUCUCAGACUUUAUUUUUCAUGACCUUGGCAGCUUUGAGGAGCACUGGCCAGAUGGUGAGAACUGGUCUGAAUGUACAAUUCAGUCUUACUGUUUUCCAUCAAGGUGUCACCAAUCUUCCAGUCUCCCAGGCAGAAGUUUUUGAGAGACAAAUGGAUGGAAAAACUUUUUGGCCCUCUUCCUUAGGAUCAGAAGAGCUUCAACCAGCACUACUACUUGAGGACCUAUGCAGUGUUUGUCCAUGAGCAUGGAAUGACUCAUACUGGCCUCAGAGUUAGGGACUCACUUUAAAGGAAAGGGGAUGCAGUAGUGGGCACAUGACUAAGAAAUCCACCGAUCCUCUCAUAUACUGCACCACCAGAAGCUGCUGGAUUAGCAGAGCAAAGGUCACAGAACGUUUUCCUGAAUCGGAUUCUGGGUUAAAGCUGCCAGUAGGAAGAAUUCACAUGAGAUUUCAAAGGUGGAAGAGAAGGAGAAGGUGUUUUUUUCUUGCAACAGUUUGGCUGGGGAGCUGAGAUCUUCACUGAGGGCUUCCUUUGGCUCCGGGUUCCCGUGGACAGGCAGCCGAUGUCAUCAGUGGUGGCUUCUCUGUGAUCACUAUACCACCAGGUCUCCUAAAGUGGCCUUCUUGACCUUUGCCUCCCCAGCUCUUUCAAUGGUUAUGUGAAACUCUAAUUAUGUACAUUAAAUAUCUUUCAGCUCAUAAUACAUAGAGUCAUUUCCCUCCCCACAUAUGGAGUAAUUCUGAAUGACAUAAAGGCUUAAGCACGAAGGCCCAAAACCUUGGUCACCUAUGUUGAUAAAUCUGAAUUUUGAUUAGCGCCAAAUUAUAGACCAAUAUAUGUCUUACAGACGUUAAAAAACAUAUGGUAUAAUUUCAUUUUUAUAAAGUUCAAAAGCAAACUAAUUUGUGAUUUUAGAAGUAAUGAUGAGUGUUUAUGUUUGGAAAAGGCUGAGCAGGGUGGGGACUUGAUGGGCCAUGAGAGAGGCUUGAGAUGCUAGUAAUACUUGAUUUCUUCAUCAAGGUUGUGCUUAGAUGGUUGAGUUCUUUUUGUGAUAAUUCAUUAAGCGAGAUCAUCAUAAUAUGCCAUUUUUCUUUCUUUUUUUUUUUUUUGAGAUGGAGUUUCACUCUU
rnacentral:lncRNA from 1 species